CCAGUGACAAUCCAGGUUCUAAUUCUGAUGGUUUAAUCCAACUGGAAGAGAAUCUUUGGCCUGUCAAUGACAAAAUGGUUUAUAAAGAAGAAAAAAUAAAUACCAUAUACAAGGUAUCAUUAUAUUUUUCAUCUUUGAUCUCCCGCUCUUCCUUCCGGAUCCUCACAGCAUGGUAUCGGGGAACGCUAUCAUCGUACCUAGAGCGUUUAAAGAAUCCGCACUGACCAAGGGGAAAGAGAAACAGAAACAAACUAAGUAUCUCAAGAAAAGCAAAUGCACAAAAUGGGAAUGUCUAAGCUUUCUGUUCAGCUACGCCUACCUUUGGAUGAAGGGGAAAAAAUAAACAUGGUUUCUUUUAAGAAGGAACUAGUAGGUCCAAAAGACAUACCAGCAGUGGGGAUAAACAGAAGAGAAGACAGCUGUAACAUUGGAAGAAAAGUCCGUUUUUCCAUUGUGUCUCUACUAAGAGUUAUGGAAAAAUGCUUCCAUUUUUUAUAAUCACAAUAUUAUAUGUUAAAGAUCGAAUUUUCAGGUUAAAAAGAUUGGUCUUUAAAAAUGAUAUUCUAAUAAAGGCCAUAAACCAAAGAUUAUUCAUACCCCUUUCCCACUAACAAAAUGGAAUCAGAUCACAAAUAUUUUACAAGUUACUAUUUAAAUAUGCCAGUGUUCAAAUGGGCCAAUUUAAGAAUCUUCUCUCCUCCAAGGCUCAGCACAUAUCUCUCAUUAGCUACCAGGCAAUUUACACUGCCUGGAUUUCCUGUUGUGCUUAUAAAUUGUUUCAUUAAUAAAUCAUGUAGUAACUGUG